AAUCAACGCUGGCGGCGUGCCUAACACAUGCGAGUCGAGCGAGAAAAGGGGAGCAAUCCCCUGAGUACAGCGGCGCACGGGUGAGUAACACGUGGGUAAUCUGCCCUGGAGUGGGGAAUAACACCGGGAAACCGGUGCUAAUACCGCAUACGAUCACAGAGUCUGCGGAUUUUGUGAUGAAAGGAGCAAUUCGCUCUAGGAGGAGCCCGCGGCUGAUUAGCUAGUUGGUGAGGUAAUGGCUCACCAAGGCAACGAUCAGUAUCCGGUCUGAGAGGACGGUCGGACACACUGGAACUGAGACACGGUCCAGACUCCUACGGGAGGCAGCAGUGGGGAAUUUUUGGCAAUGGGGGCAACCCUGACCAAGCAACGCCGCGUGGGUGAUGAAGUCUCUUGGGACGUAAAACCCUUUCGACGGGGACGAAAGCCGCAAGGUUUGACGGUACCCGUAGAAGAAGCCCCGGCUAACUCCGUGCCAGCCGCCGCUGUAAGAC
rnacentral:rRNA from 1 species